rnacentral:lncRNA from 1 species
CUCAACUUUUCCGAUAGGUACCGGGUGUUUGGUUGAGCCUCUGCCCAUUAACACCAAAUGUACCAGGCUCUCGGCAGUGGUUGAUUUGAUUAAACUGGCUUACAUUUUACCAUUUACCAAACAUCCCAGGAUCGAGGCGCUGCACUCGAGAAUCCUGCAUUCUGGUCCCGGCUUUUGUCAGCUCAUAGCAUGGCUGGAGUUUCGUUAUUUUGCCUCUAAAGCGGAGGAACCCUGCCCUGCCACCUCCACAGAGUUGUGUGACAUCUUCAGCCUCGGAAGAUGAAUGAGUGUAAGUGAAAAGAGCUCUGGUGAUGAAGUUCCUUGGAAUUGUUCCUACUUGGUGCUGGGCACCGCCCGGCAGGGGUGGAGGAAGCUAGGACCCAACCCUGUUUUUGAAGCCAGAGUUAGGCAGUGAGUAUAGACAGGUAAAUCGACUCAGAUCAGAUGAAGGAGGCCAAUUUUGAGUGAGUCUGCUUCUCUAAUGUUCAAACUUCAACAUGUGAGGAAGCAGAAGAUAACCGGCUCAUCUUCAAAUUAGGACAAGACACAUCCCUUCAUCUCCCUGGUUUCUCCUUUUUUUAAUGGGGAAUUGGGCUAGAUGAUUCUUAACUUUUCUAAAUGCAUGAUAAUAUAAAACAAGCCGAAGCCCUUUAUGCUAGCGGUCCCAGAAAUUGGUGUGACUUCCUGACAGGGCAGAAAUGUCAGGAAGGGCUGCUGGAACCUGAAGGAAGAUCUUAUGAGGAGUGAAGUGAAACCAGUG